UUUCGCAAUGCCCGAAAGGGUGACGAAGCGACGCCGCGUGUGGGAAGAAGGCCUUCGGGUUGUAAACCGCUGUUGGGAGUUAGGAAGUGUAGGAGUGUUAAUAGCACUUCUGCUUGACUAAAGCUCCAGAGGAAGCCACGGCUAACUCUGUGCCAGCAGCCGCGGUAAUACAGAGGCGGCAAGCGUUGUUCGGAAUUAUUGGGCGUAAAGAGCACGUAGGCGGCUCUGCAAGUCAGCUGUGAAAGCCUUCUGCUUAACGGAAGAACAGCAGUUGAAACUACAGGGCUUGAGUGCGGGAGGGGAGAGUGGAACUUCCGGUGGAGCGGUGAAAUGCGUAGAUAUCAGAAGGAACGCCGGCGGCGAAAGCGGCUCUCUGGUCCGCAACUGACGCUGAGUGUGCGAAAGCUAGGGGAGCAAACGGGAUUAGAUACCCCGGUAGUCCUAGCCGUAAACGAUGGGCACUAAGUAGAGGGGUUUU
rnacentral:rRNA from 1 species